GCUGGGUGUGGUGGUGUACGCCUGUAGUCCCAGCUACUUAGGAGGCUGAGGCAAGAGGAUUGCUUGAGGCCAGGAGUUUGAGGCUGCAGUGAGUUGUGAUCGUACCACUGCACUCCAACCUGGGUGACAGAUCAAGACCCUGCCUCAA
rnacentral:SRP_RNA from 1 species